GAAUGGGAUUAAGAAACCAGAAUGCUGCAAAAAAAUCUAGGUCCAGAAUGCUAUUUGGAAAGGAAAAUGUCAAGAUCAAUCCUUCAAUAUGUGUGAUCAGCAAAUUCACUUUGCACAACUUUGAAGUGAUCUGGGCGCCAGAUUCACUUUAAGAUGUGGCUAUUGAAGUUAUUGAAAGAGAUUGCAACAACAAUAGAGUAAUUGGUACGUGAAGUAGAACGAAG